AGUGAACGCUGGCGGUAGGCCUAACACAUGCAAGUCGAACGGCAGCACAGUAAGAGCUUGCUCUUACGGGUGGCGAGUGGCGGACGGGUGAGGAAUACAUCGGAAUCUACUUUUUCGUGGGGGAUAACGUAGGGAAACUUACGCUAAUACCGCAUACGACCUACGGGUGAAAGCAGGGGAUCUUCGGACCUUGCGCGAUUGAAUGAGCCGAUGUCGUAUUAGCUAGUUGGCGGGGUAAAGGCCCACCAAGGCGACGAUCCGUAGCUGGUCUUAGAGGAUGAUCAGCCACACUGGAACUGAGACACGGUCCAGACUCCUACGGGAGGCAGCAGUGGGGAAUAUUGGACAAUGGGCGCAAGCCUGAUCCAGCCAUACCGCGUGGGUGAAGAAGGCCUUCGGGUUGUAAAGCCCUUUUGUUGGGAAAGAAAAGCAGCAGGUUAAUACCCCGCUGUUCUGACGGUACCCAAAGAAUAAGCACCGGCUAACUUCGUG
rnacentral:rRNA from 1 species